AUUGAACGCUGGCGGCAUGCUUUACACAUGCAAGUCGAACGGUAACAGGCCGCAAGGUGCUGACGAGUGGCGAACGGGUGAGUAAUGCAUCGGAACGAGCCCAGUCGUGGGGGAUAACGCAGCGAAAGCUGCGCUAAUACCGCAUACGAGCUAUGGAUGAAAGCGGGGGACCGUAAGGCCCCGCGCGAUUGGAGCGGCCGAUGUCAGAUUAGGUAGUUGGUGGGGUAAAGGCUCACCAAGCCAACGAUCUGUAGCUGGUCUGAGAGGACGACCAGCCACACUGGGACUGAGACACGGCCCAGACUCCUACGGGAGGCAGCAGUGGGGAAUUUUGGACAAUGGGCGCAAGCCUGAUCCAGCAAUGCCGCGUGCAGGAAGAAGGCCUUCGGGUUGUAAACUGCUUUUGUACGGAACGAAACGGUCCUGGUUAAUACCUGGGGCUAAUGACGGUACCGUAAGAAUAAGCACCGGCUAACUACGUGCCAGCAGCCGCGGUAACAC
rnacentral:rRNA from 1 species